rnacentral:lncRNA from 1 species
CCCGUCCUGAAGGCCUAGAGGGUGCCCCCUGUGCCCCGCGGCUCCCCAGCACCUGCUUCUCGUUUCACAUCUUCAAGUUUGACUGCCCUGACACUGCCAUACUGUAAGGAAGCUUAAAACAGCUCAUAUGGAGAAACCACAUGGAGAAGACCUGAGACUUCAGAGAAAGAGAGAUAGAUGCUUUGCCAGCUGCAUGCUAAUCCAGUUUCAAUCAUUGUUUGGCUGCAACAGCAUGAGAGAUCCCAAACUAGAACUACCCAGCUGAGCCCUUCCCAAAUUCUUCAGCCACAGAAAGUAUGAGAGACAGUAAAAUCAGUGUUUUUAUUUUAA